CCUACGGGAGGCAGCAGUGGGGAAUUUUGCGCAAUGGGCGAAAGCCUGACGCAGCAACGCCGCGUGAGUGAUGAAGGCUUUCGGGUCGUAAAGCUCUGUCGAGGGGAAAGAAGUGUACGGGGGCUAAUAUCCUCUGUACUUGACGGUACCCCUAAAGGAAGCACCGGCUAACUCCGUGCCAGCAGCCGCGGUAAUACGGGGGGUGCAAGCGUUGUUCGGAAUUAUUGGGCGUAAAGCGCGUGUAGGCGGUCUGAUUAGUCUGAUGUGAAAGCCCUGGGCUCAACCCAGGAAGUGCAUUGGGUACUGUCAGACUUGAAUACGGGAGAGGGUAGUGGAAUUCCUAGUGUAGGAGUGAAAUCCGUAGAUAUUAGGAGGAACACCGGUGGCGAAGGCGGCUACCUGGACCGAUAUUGACGCUGAGACGCGAAAGCGUGGGUAGCAAACAGGAUUAGAUACCCUGGUAGUCCACGCCGUAAACGAUGAGAACUAGGUGUUGCGGGUAUUGACCCCUGCAGUGCCGCAGCUAACGCAUUAAGUUCUCCGCCUGGAAGUACGGUCGCAAGCUAAAACUUAAAUGAAUUGACGG
rnacentral:rRNA from 1 species